UACGGGGGGGGCAAGCGUUGUUCGGAAUUACUGGGCGUAAAGGGCUCGUAGGUGGCCAACUAAGUCAUACGUGAAAUCCCUCGGCUUAACCGGGGAACUGCGUCUGAUACUGGAUGGCUUGAGUUUGGGAGAGGGACGCGGAAUUCCAGGUGUAGCGGUGAAAUGCGUAGAUAUCUGGAGGAACACCGGUGGCGAAGGCGGCGUCCUGGACCAACACUGACACUGAGACGCGAAAGCGUGGGUAGCAAACAGG
rnacentral:rRNA from 1 species